rnacentral:rRNA from 1 species
AACGAACGCUGGCGGCAGGCCUCAAACAUGCAAGUCUAGGGGGUGCAGCAAUGCAUCACCGGCGGACGGGUGCGUAACGCGUGGGAAUAUACCUAUUGGUUCGGAACAACUGCGGGAAACUGCAGCUAAUACCGAAUGUGCCCUAACGGGGAAAGAUUUAUCGCCAAUGGAUUAGCCCGCGUAGGAUUAGCUAGUUGGUGGGGUAAUGGCUCACCAAGGCUCCGAUCCUUAGCUGUUCUGAGAGGAAGAUCAGCCACACUGGGACUGAGACACGGCCCAGACUCCUACGGGAGGCAGCA